UGUAUGUUGUAGUGGAAAUACUAAGUCAUGGCCUGAACCAGUGACUGAGCACCUGGUGGGACGGCAGGGCCAACCCAGGGGAGCUCAGGCUCAUGCAAUGAGUGACUGGAAGGGAUGGAGCCAAGAUCCACUCCUCAUUUAACAGUUGGCAGUGGAGGUGUGGGUAUCUCACUGGAGAUCCCUGCCUACCUAAGACUUUCUAAGGGUGCAAGAGACGUUUCACAGGUUCUCCUGGGACUGUACGUACCAUAUGUCAGAGGAAAGUUUGGAGGGCAAACUGCAGUAUGGCUGAUCAAACACUGAUAUUUUUAUUUUUAACUCUAAGUCAGAACUUACACAGCACAGCUGCGAUUCCUAUAAGCCUGCCAAUUGCCUUGCAUAACUUGAAAUGCACUGCAAUGCCGCAGCGUCAUUGCUCAGGUAUCCCCUGAAGACAACACUACACCCUUUAGUUUUGCAUAACUGAAUGGGAAAUAUCAAAGUAAUUCAUUACAUGUGCAAAAGAGUGAGCGGGGAAUGGAAUACUCCGGCUAUUCAACAUCAAGCAGCUCGCUCCCUUCCCUGCCACAGUUCCCCCUCCACCCACCCUUCUUCUGUAACUCUCUACCCACACUCUCUGCCUCUUCCUUACUGCGCUGUCAUUAUAUACGUCUCCUCCACCUUUCCAAUAUCCCUUUCCACAAUAGAACCCCCCUCCUCUCAGCCCUGCCACCAUGCUUUGCCCCUCUCUCCCACCACUGCAUCCACUUCUUCAUCUUCUCCAACCACUGUAGCCCAAGAAGUGGUGAUUGCUGUUGGGACCUCUCAGGGCUUUAGGGAGGUACACUGAUUCCACCACCCUGUGGCUGCUCAACCAAAAAGUGUAGUGGUGGUGUUUAUUUCUGAGCUGCCUGCUCUUUUGGCAGUUAGGUUUGCCUGUUUGGUUUAGGCAAAUUCGCAGCCAGGCAAGCAGAUGUGUGCUCAUCAGGUAUCAAAUUAUCCAUCAAGCAAGUCCUACGUCAAGGCUGUUCAGGACUUUGAUGAGUUUCAUGUAAUUAUUUGAAAGUUUCAGGUAAAACAACAAAAAUUCCGUAUUCCUACAAAGAUGACCCUAUGUCUCCGAAUGAUAUUUAAGUGGACACCAAACACAUUUCCCUUGGUCUGGCUCAAUGGCAGCCAGUGCUCUUCAGGAUGUGACCUCCAAGGCCCCUGGUGCCAAAAGCAGCCAGCUUAAUGCCACCACCACAACUGGGCUUGGCCACACCAGGAGGAGGAUUAUAGUUAGGCCCAGGCUGAACGAAGAAAUAUUUCACUGUGGCUCAUGUGUAUGGCAUGCGCUAUUCUAAUGCACUUAGGAGAAACGUCACAGUGUUAUGCAGACAUGUCAAUGUUUCCUGUGCUGUAAUUAUCAUCAUAAUGUUUCAUUAUCGCCACUAUAUUGUGGGUUAUUUUUAUAUCACUCACUCUAUAUUAAAUGUGGACGUGGCUCCCAAGAAGAAGAAGAGUGAUAUCACUUUGCCAAAAGCUGCAGACUAAGUUCAGAAAGUCACUGUGCUUUGUGUUCUUGAUGAGGCCAAGUGUCAUCUCCUCAUGCUCCCUCUCUCUGUCACAUUAGUCCUGAAGUCUUCAGUGGGAAUAUUUAUGGUGGAAACUACUACCAAAUGUGAGUAAUAGCAUCAGUUUGACUUUGCAUUAAAUCUUAAUGCACUGAGAAGGGGCAAGACUCCUCAGGCUCAUUUCAAGGCCUAUUUUUAGAUAAGAUAUUCAGACUUCUCUUAUCAAAUAAUUGGACAUCACAAGUAAAGGCAAGCUAACUUUUUAGAAUAAAAUAGGAAUUCAUUUAAAGCUUUUCUGAGCUUCCAAAAAAGGUAGAUUUAGAGAUCAUUGAAGCCUCGGCACCUGAUUGUAAUAAUUUAUUAACGGAAAAGGGGAAAGCACAAAGAAGUCUGAACCGGUUACAGUUCCUACUCAAUUUGCAUAAGGACAUCUACAUGGAUUUCUGUAUCGUUCUCAUAUUGCAGAGGUGCAGUGGGGCCAUAAAGUUAAAGGUGUUUUACAGUCAGUAUAGUCUAUUUAAAAAAUGGGAUAUUCAUAUAAAGGAAGGGAAAGACUGGACAGAGAGAUCACAGAGAGGCUCCAGAUUCCUGGGAAAUGAUGUUUUGCUUCUAAGGCGACAAAAUAAUGCUGUCACAGGAAAUGCCAAAAGCCACGUAGAUUUGUGGUAAGGGGACUGUCGCCCGUAAAAGAGUCAAGAUAAUUAUUCUGCUGUGCUUGACGUUGGUGAAGUCUAAUUUGGAUGGCUGCAUUUCACUCCAGGCACACAGAUAAAUUGGCAGAGUUCAAAGGAGAAUAACAAAAAUGAUGUAAAGUUUGAAAAAAGGAGGCCUACAAAAUAAGGUUCGGAAAAGGGGGUAUAGGUGAUUUGGAACAACUGAAGUGGCAGGAGGGAGGAUUUGGGGUAAGUGUAAACAAAACUCGAAAGCUUUAAGAAAAAGUUCAGCCACAGAACAAGCUGUCAGGAAGGUUUUAGAAUCACCACUGCUGCAGAUACUGAAAGGCAGGAGACCAUCUGUCAGGGAGAGUUCAGGGAUAAUUACAAAAAAAAGUGCUGUCACAAUUUAGGAGUUGGAUUAAAUAACCCAUUCACGACUAGAUCUUAAUAGAUCAGAAGUGGCAUGGCUACUCUUUUUACCUUUUCACUGUGAAGUUGGUCUUUAUUGUAUAAAAAAACACAAGACAAUUAUGUUGAUUGCAGACGGGGAAGGAUAUAUUUGUUUGAAUAUUUAUAGUGAACAGAUACCUAAUAUUAAUUUUACCACAGUAAGAACACCUUACCCUAGUUUUCCCCAUCAUGCUUUGAACACGUGUAUAGUGUGCAGGUUAAAGUUGAUAUAGAAAAAAAUAAGUAUUUAGAUUAAUCCAUAUGUCAUAUCCCUUACUAAGGCAACUAAAUAAUGGGCCACUCCAGACCUGUCCUGGGACCUGGGGCUUGUGAUUAUCACAUUCAAAGAGAUUUUAGCUCAGGUCAUAGAAUCACGGAAUGGCAUGCAUUGCAAGGGACCUCAAGGAUCAUGAAGCUCCAACUCCCCUGCCACAGGCAGGGCCGCCAACCUCCACGUACAGUACUAGACCAGGCUGCCCAGGACCCCAUCCAACCUGGCCUUGAACACCUCCAGGGAUGGGGCAUCCACAACCUCUCUGGGCAGCCUGUGCCAGCACCUCACCACUCUCUUGGUAAAGAACUUUAAAGGUCCUUAAAGGAAACUUAAGAGGUUCUUAAGGGAAACUUAAGGGAAUGUAAGUUCCCUUAGGGGAACUUUAAAGGGGCUGAAUUUUUGAGUGGUGAAUUGUUGAUAAUGGGUAUAGAGGAAUGACUGCAUUGUCCUACAUUAUGGGACUGAGAUGACACCGGAGCUUAAACAUCUCUUUUAGCCUUCACAGCCUUCUCCUUGCUGCAAAGUAUCUGCUGGCUUAUGAGUUUUAAGGAAAAAUCAAGCAACCUAGCUCAAGUGGUCUUCAGUGGUGAUACAGCCAUACCACCAUGACUUUAUACUGGAAAUUUCCACCGACAGCUGCCAGCUCUAAAAUGGGAUCUAGCAGGCAGUAACUGAGGGUAGCAGAGCACAUCUAAGAUGCCUCUCAGAUGCAGAGGCCUCAGGUUCUGUCUAUGUGAGAACUCCACCACCUAUGGUAGAUACGCACCAUUGCCACAUCCUGCCACGGGCUGUUAUAUGGCCUGGCUGAGCACCACUUCUUCCCUCCUCCACACAUACCCCUCUCUGGCUUUGGCUUUCAUGGCUGAUAAAUUGUGACACACUCCAGCUGGUCUUCUGAGGUAGCCGAGCAGGGACCAUGACUGUAAGGAAUGCUUCUGGCCUUGCUUGGGAAUGCCUCCACUCCGCUGCAUUUUUCCUCUGUAUCAAGUGGACUUUGGACCAGUGUUUGGGAAAUGCUACAUGAAGGUAAGAUUCAGUGGAGUACAUACAUACCUUUUGAUGGCAACUUUGCUUUGAAGAGGUUUUGCUUCUUUGCAGUGUUAUCCCUAGGAAAAAAAAACAAAUGUGAGGGUUCGCUAUGAGGGAUAUGGGCAUGGUGUCCAUUCAGUGGCCCCCAAACUCCUGAUUCUGAGGGUACUUGGAUUCCAUUGCUCCACCACACCAGCUCUGCAGUCAGUGCUGAGUGCAGUGACAUGGCUGCGACAGAAUGUGUGACACGCUGGGGAGAAGCUGGCAGAGAGCUGGCUGCAGAUACGAAUGAAACAACAAAAAAUUACCUGAGCUGAAUAGAAAACACCUUCAGAUGACUCAGAGUUUCAGCAGAGAUGUCUUUUUUUUUUCUCUUUUCCCAAACACAUUCCUCUUUUGCUCCAGUCAUUCCCUGCCACCCUUCCUUCUCCAUUUCAUACUGCUGUAAAUGCUUUUACUGACACAUUUGCACAGCUGCAUGUGGCUACUGUGCUUUAGAACAAUUUCCAGAAGGCUGUUGUACAAGCUGUGGUACUGCUUGUUGACUGAAACAGAUUUCUCAGCUGCUGCUAAUAUCCAACAAGAAGGCCUGGUGGAAAUGCUGUCCUACCCAGUGAGGAACUCAUUGUAUGCUGCCCAGAGCUGCUUGGGGUGAUCUCUGCAGUCACUAAAGUGUAAGAUACAGCACCCACAAUUUGGCAGGGUCAUACCAUCCCCAGAGAGGUGGGUGCUGCAUGGGGACUCCUCUGCCCUGCCAGAGAGCUGCAGAGGCUGGUCGAGGCUUGUUUUGAGCUGCACUGUACACCACUUGGGCGAUAAAGGGCACAAAAACAGCGUGAUGGAAGUGAGUUUAUUUCCACAGGGCCUGUGACCUUCUGGUAGGCCAAGGGGCCGUGGCAGGGCUGUGGGGAGCAGGACUCCACCCCUGCUGUGGCCUCACUGAGGCAGGAGCAGAUGGUCCCAGGGCCUGAUGUGGGGCCGUGGGCAGGGACAACCAGCGCUAACAGUGCUCUCGUGGUCCUGACACAACCUUUCUUUUGUCAUGGCUCUCAGCAGGCCUUCUGUAAGCCAGGGAGCAAGGAAUGAGAUUUUUAACGUAGAAAGGAAUGAUGUAAGAAUGUGUUACCUUGCUUUUUGUCUCUUUUUUUUUUUCCAAGUGAUUUGUAAGGAUGUUCCACAACACACGAUGCUGCUGGGACUCCCACUGCCAACACUACAACUCUGUGAGAGCUGGACAUCUCAUUCUUUCACCUCCUGUCCCUUAACCAGUUAUUUCUCUGCCAGAGAACCCUACCAUUUAUACCGGGACUCUUUCAUUUCUUUAAGAGACAUUCACAAGAGGCCUUGUCUGAACUCUUUGAAAAUCCAGGUGCACCUAGGUUACCGUCACCCACCUCUCUUGUUUGCUGCAGCCACCACAGCUUUACAGGUUGCCUUCACGGUCCAGGCAAUGAUGUGAACAAGAGAUAUCAAAUGCUCAGGGAAACUCUUGGUUGGAACAAACUCCUUCCCUCAUCUCAGUAAUAUCCAGGCACGUCUUAGAAAAGUAUGAAUUAGCGAUAAGAAAGGAAAUUAAAAAUUGCCAUCUUGCUAUACACAAA